CUGCACAAAAAUCAAUAAAAUAUAUUUUAAAAAAUAAAUAAAGCUUUUUGGGUGAGCAAUGGCUGCAAACAGCAGCAUGCUUGGUAGUGUAUGCAACCUGUUGCUAGUAUGGGUUGCCAUAAGGGACCUUGGAUAGAGCU